rnacentral:rRNA from 1 species
GUGCCAGCCGCCGCGGUAAUUCCAGCUCCAAUAGCGUAUAUUAAAGUUGUUGUGGUUAAAAAGCUCGUAGUUGAACCUUGGGCCUGGCUGGCCGGUCCGCCUCACCGCGUGCACUGGUCCGGCCGGGCCUUUCCCUCUGUGGAACCCCAUACCCUUCACUGGGCGUGGCGGGGAAACAGGACAUUUACUUUGAAAAAAUUAGAGUGCUCCAGGCAGGCCUAUGCUCGAAUACAUUAGCAUGGAAUAAUAAAAUAGGACGCGCGGUUCUAUUUUGUUGGUUUAUAGGACCGCCGUAAUGAUUAAUAGGGACAGUCGGGGGCAUCAGUAUUCAACUGUCAGAGGUGAAAUUCUUGGAUCAGUUGAAGACUAACUACUGCGAAAGCAUUUGCCAAGGAUGUUUUCAUUAAUCAGGAACGAAAGUUAGGGGAUCGAAGACGAUCAGAUACCGUCGUAGUCUUAACCAUAAACUAUGCCGACUAGGGAUCGGACGGUGUUAUUCAUGACCCGUUCGGCACCUUACGAGAAAUCAAAGUGCUUGGGCUCCAGGGGGAGUAUGGUCGCAAGGCUGAAACUUAAAGAAAUUGACGGAAGGGCACCACCAGGGGUGGAGCCUGCGGCUUAAUUUGACUCAACACGGGGAAACUCACCAGGUCCAGACACAAUAAGGAUUGACAGAUUGAGAGCUCUUUUCUUGAUUUUGUGGUGGUGGUGCAUGGACCGUUCUUAGUUGGUGGGGUGACUUGUCUGCUUAAUUGCGAUAACGAACGA